rnacentral:rRNA from 1 species
CUGGGGGUCAGUCGGGACCUAACGCGAACCCGAACGGGGUAGUGGAUGGACAAUCAGUUAAUAUUCUGAUACCUGCUCACAUUAAAAGUGACGGGGAUGAGGCGUUGGUGCGAAGAGACGGAAUUCUUCGUUGAAGGUAGCGGAAGCUACUGAUAGUACACUGAGGCUUCGGCCAAGGUGAUAAUCCAGCUUAUCAUCCUCCAAGAAAAACAAGUGAAGCAGCCCGUACCGUAAACCGACACAGGUAGUCGAGGAGAGUAUCCUAAGGCGCUCGAGUGAUCCAUGGCUAAGGAACUAGGCAAAUUAGUCUCGUAACUUCGGGAGAAGAGACGCCGU